GCCUCCAUAAACUUAUUGAAACAUUUGCAUCUGAUGGUAUUAUCACCAAUAUUCAUUCCUGUUACAAUUUUAGGACUGAUAAUUGUUCCCUAUAUAUAAAAUAGUGAGACGUGUAUCAUCGUAUAAACCCGACGAAACAUCAAUAUUCCUUAACAAUACUAUAAUAACAACACAAACAUCAAUAUUCCUUUCUUUUUUAUAUGCAAAAUCAUGUGUUUUUUCUUAUAAAAAAAAUCAGCAAAGCCCAUAUUUGCCUUUUUUUUUUGUGAAGCCCAUAUUUGCCUUUGUUGCAUCACGUUGUUUCUUUUGUAUUUCCAUUCUCAUUUUAAUUUAUUUUUCUCUCUCAUCAAUUAUUGAGACACGGUCUCUCUUCUUCAUCCUUCAAACCCUAGCAAAAACACCUAUCCACUGCAUUCCUCCGUCCGGCUACAGACCCAGCUGGCUGUGAAAUCAACAUCAUGUGUUAUCGAACUCCGUCGCCAAAAGCUCUGUUUUCGACCACGUCUGAGCUCGUCCAUGGAGUUGAGCGAUUGAUAUGUGAUCUUCAUUUUGAGAACUGGGCACCGUCACCGGAAACCACCGCCGACAAUCGUCUCCGCUACGGUCAAAUUGGAAUCUCGAUGUCAACAGAACUUCAUGCUUCAUCGUAGCCACUGAUAUUUUGGGUUCAAGAAAUCAAUUCUCAAGAAUUCAAUGUAAAACAGAAGUCAAUAACAAAAAGGAAAUGAAGAUGAGUUCUCUUGUGUUGAAGAAAAGAGAAAGGAUAAAAAAUGAAAGGAAAUAGUAUUGUAUUUUUGAUGCAUCAAUCCUUUGCUAUUUAUAGACAAAGGAAUUUGAAACUUGGGGGUAAAGUUUGUGUUGCAGAAUUACCUUCCCUAUUAAAUGACAAAGCUAAAAAUUACUUUUCCUAGAUAA